GGACUGUGUGAAGAAGUGUUGGGCAUGAGCCUGCAUGAAACAGAGUGGUACAGAUAUUGGUGGGAGUAGCAAAUAUCC
rnacentral:rRNA from 1 species